rnacentral:rRNA from 1 species
CCUACGGGAGGCAGCAGUAGGGAAUAUUGCUCAAUGGGGGAAACCCUGAAGCCGCAACGCCGCGUGGAGGAUGAAGGUUUUCGGAUUGUAAACUCCUUUUGUUAGAGAAGAUAAUGACGGUAUCUAACGAAUAAGCACCGGCUAACUCCGUGCCAGCAGCCGCGGUAAUACGGAGGGUGCAAGCGUUACUCGGAAUCACUGGGCGUAAAGAGCGCGUAGGCGGGAUAGCAAGUCAGAUGUGAAAUACUAUGGCUUAACCAUAGUACUGCAUUUGAAACUGUUAUUCUAGAGUAUGGGAGAGGUAGGUGGAAUUCUUGGUGUAGAGGUAAAAUCCGUAGAGAUCAAGAGGAAUACUCAUUGCGAAGGCGACCUGCUAGAACAUAACUGACGCUGAUGCGCGAAAGCGUGGGUAGCAAACAGGAUUAGAUACCCUAGUAGUC